rnacentral:lncRNA from 1 species
GCUGACCUUGUGGGAAAAGAUUGGAAACUUAUUUUAUCAAAUGUGUAUUUAUUUUAAUUUUUUUUAGGAGAAAUCUUCAGUAGCCAGGUCUCCAGUAAACAACCUUAACCACUUGACUGUCGAAAUAGCUGUAAAGCAGCAACAAUUUGUGGGGGACUCGUCACCUGGCCUAUGUAGGUCUGUGUUUUGCAAAGAGCCAACUCCUAACAACUGAAGAGAGAUUGACUUGGUUAGACCACAGAAACUGUCUACGGACAAACGCUGGCUCUACGGCUUGGAAACAGGGAUGACCUGAGUCGGACACGACUGGACUAAAUGUCAAGGGGAACCUUUACCUUUAAAGUCCAAAACACACAGAAAUCUGGAGAACACAAUUGAAUUGGCCACAAGGAUCUUGUUGGCAGAACCACACUUACAGAAGAUCAUUGUGAUGAAAACAACAGUACGGACAGUUUUACAGGUCAACAUGAAUAAGAAAUAAAACAAUCAACUCUUAAGGUCCAUGGAUCAAUACAUUCUAUAUACUUUGACAAGUCAGGCUUCCCACAUUGUACUUCAGACUGUACCACACACUGGAUAAAAGGUAUGUAUCUGUCAUGUAUAUUUGACUGCUGUAAGUGAAACGUAAGGAAUACAUUUAAAAAACAUGAGCCUGGGCAUGAAGAUGUCUGACUUUCACUUCUGCACUAAAAGCUGUAUCUUUUUUGUUUAUUGAAAUGUAGUGCUGAUUUACUGUAUAUGCUUGAAACACACCAGUAAUAUCUAGGAGUUCGUAAUAUACAGACCAUACCUGUAAUUUUAUUUGCAAAUUGUCAUGAAAAAAAAUAUAAAAAGAUGUCCCUUUUAUUUUACAAACCUAAAAGCUGGGGCGCGGGGGUAGAGAGAGGAGGGGGAUAAGAUAAAGCUUUGGGACCUCAGCUAAACAUAAUGCUGUAAUACCCAACAAAAUAGCAAUGUUCCAGCCAGAGGACAGAUGUACUAAAUUCAAAUAAAACACUGAUGGAAAUUUGUAUUUGAAAUUAG